AAUCAGAUAUGGGGAAGAAAGAAGAAAGGAAAGGGUAUCCUUUAUGGUUUAAUGAAAGAUAUUUGUGUGUCAAAUCGACAUGGGGACAGUUCUACUGUUUUUUAUUUGUUUGUCAACCUUAUCCACACUUAGGCAUGUUUUGGAAGAGGUCAUUUUAACUGCGGAAAUGCCUCCAUUGGAUUGGCCUGUGGACAAGUAUGGAGGACAUUUCUUUUUAUUGAUGAUUGAUGCUGGAAGGCCCAGAUAACUGAAGUGCUGCCCAUCCUAGGCUGUUGGUGCUUCAAUUUUAAAAAUGCAGCCUGAACAAGACGUCAGGAGCACUCCGGACCUUCCUCCUGAGGAGGAGAAGAUGGACUCUUGAAUUCUUGACCAUUACCCUGAGGACAGGACUUUUCAUUUUGACAGCCACCGUGGUUAUCGCUGGCAGCCAUCUUUUCAUCAGAUUCAGCAAAAAUUAUUUAGGGAAUCUGAAGCUUUUUCCAUGUUAUUAUAACUCUUUGGACUAUUUCCAUAAAAACAGUGGCAUCUUCUAAUCUUAUUGUAAAUGACAAUUUGAGGUGUUAAAUGCUUCUUUUAUAUUGUAACCAUAGAGUAUCUUUCCUUACCUAUAAGUCCUCCAUUGUGAGGAGGAACAGUUGGACUCAUGGGCACUGCAUCACUGUCCAGGGGGCAUGUCUUCUCACUGGGACAGCUGUUGUCUUCAUGGUCUUUGUCCUUCAACUCAUCAAAGUCAGUUAAAUUGUUUAGGGACCCAGAGACCUCUCUAUGGGGGCAAGGCAUUGAGCUCUCACCCUGAAGCAAAGUCAUGUCUUCUCCAAAUAUUUUCUGACAGUUUUCAAUGAGAAAUUUUACAAGAGAAAACUAUGGAAAAAAAAAAUGGGGCAAACAGAGGAUCUCGGUCAUUUCACAGAGUUGUAAAUCACAUUUUAUAUAUGAGUCAUGGAGAUUAAAAAUGUGUAAUUCAAAAUUCUGAGAAAAAGUCAGCAGUUACAAAAUAUAGGAGCUGGCUAAUCAUUUGAAAUUUGAAGCCUAUUGUGGGGUCGGAUGUUAAAAUGUGAUCAACACCUAACAAUAAAUGCUAUAUAAGAGAAUGA